UUUGUGGCCUUCCUAAAGGCCACAGUAUUUAAUCAGAUACACGUUAU
rfam:Camelus ferus unplaced genomic scaffold scaffold1532, whole genome shotgun sequence.